rnacentral:rRNA from 1 species
UACGGAGGGUGCAAGCGUUGCUCGGAAUUAUUGGGCGUAAAGGGUAGGUAGGUGGUCUCGUUUGUCUGGGGUGAAAGCCUUGAGCUUAACUCAAGAAGUGCCCCAGAAACGGCGAGACUAGAGUCCUGGAGAGGGUCGUGGAAUUCCCGGUGUAGCGGUGAAAUGCGUAGAGAUCGGGAGGAACACCAGAGGCGAAGGCGGCGACCUGGACAGGCACUGACACUCAACUACGAAAGCGUGGGGAGCAAACAGG